GUGUCUGGUAAAGAUAUUCAGCCCUCCUUCUUCCUCAGCAGAUGUGAUCUCUUUGGUAGGGCAGUAUUUGGUGAUCUUUGGAAGUUUCUGAUUGAUGAUUGUUCCCUAGAGAUCCAUCCCCUCCUCUGAUAAUUUCCCCGGUAGAGUUGCUUCUACGACGGAGUUUAUCUGUGCGAUGAUCCUGUCUCCAGUUGGAAUGGCUGAUGUUCAUUCUCCUACAGAGAUC
rnacentral:lncRNA from 1 species